GCAUAGUAGAGUAUAGUCUUUGGAGCGGCACAGACCUGGGUUCACGUCUCAGCUACACCCCUGAACAGCCACGGAAUGCUGAGCCUGUCACACGACCUCUCUGAGCCUCGGGUUACUCAGAAAGGCCGGCGGCGGCGGGGGACGGCCUCGCGGUGACCGCUGGCCGCGCUGUCUGUGCAUCCCAGGAGCCGUCUGCGCUCCGCCCCACAUCCCGCACACCGCUCACGGCACCGCCACUCCCCCCAAAGCCUCCGCGCUCCCCUUCGCCCGUGAAACCUGCUCUCCGACGGGACCGCUGGUUUACCCUGCGUGCCACCCAGAUGACACCAUGAGGAGCCAUCCCUUCCGCGGGGAUCGAAAGUUCUAUCAGGGAUCCAAACCUCCAACCAAAGCGAAGAGGCUCUGAUGAAAGAACUUCAGGGCUCCGUCUGUGAGCAGGGGAGGAGGGGGACUCUGUGUCACGGCCCCACCCAGCAGCUGACCCUGACACACAGCCUGGAGCUGUCCUAGUGAAGCUCUGACUGGACGACAAGCUUCCCCUCAGGGCUCGUGAGAAACCCAUUUCCCCGACGACUGCGCUUGACUGUGGGGCGCGCGCGCCAGGGAAGCCCUCCCGCCACCACCACCACCUCCAGCCCGCAGCCUUUGCAAGUUUUCAGGAGGACACUACGACUUUAGCUUCUAGGAAGCCCUCGUGUGGCUGCCUCACGACCUUGGAAGGACCCUCCCGCUGCUCCUGUGCCUGGAGCGCCGGGCUCCGCAGUCCUACAGAGGCGUUCCAUCCGCGCUCCGCCCGCGUCCAGUCGUCCCAUCCGUGUGGGGGGCAGCUGUUCUGUGCCAGGCCGGGCUGCCAGCCUCAGCAGGCGGCGAGGCCCCGAGCCUGCUGAGCAUCGCAUCGUUCAUUCCAACGGGGCUGGGGUCCAGCAGAAGCAUGGACCACGGAGAAUCCCCAUGUGGCCCAGGGAGUCUGGGUGGGCUCUCCUGAGUGGGUGGCGGGACUGUGAGUACCCACCUUCUUGUUAAGCCUGGUGAAUUUUGCUCCCCUUACAAAGAGUGAAGGUUAUGGAACUUAGAAAAUUUUGCAGCAACAGGAAGCCAGAAGCCCCACACAGCGGGAUGAACUACCAGCUCCAGAAGGACUGGCCUGUAAAAUGAUAAGGGAGUGGAAUUGUGUAACUUAGCCAACGGGUGGGUAGCAGGUGGCUGUGGCCUCUUCUGUGGGACUGGCUACCUGGAUGAACAUUCUCUACUCUGUCAUGAUAUCUUUGUCCAAGAAUUCUUGGUUCCUUCCACCACACUGCAUGAAAAAGCCAAAUGACUGUAAAAUUUCUCAGUUAUAGCUCUCAACUGAGCCUUAAUUAUUCAUACGUGCUGGAUUAAUUAUUCAAGACCAUGAAUUGGCACGUUCAGGGGGGCGGUUACUAGUAAACUGGAGGCUGUGUGAACGGCGUUUGGCGGGAGAGACAAGGCCCGCUGUCUCCUGGGUGAUUCAAUCCGUGGAUGGGCAGAGGCGUUUGUGCAGGGGUGACUUACAUGGACUUCGGCGCGGCUCUCUGCUGGUGUGAGGAGUGGCCUUGCCGAUCCUUUCCGGACAGGGAGGAGAGCCGUGGUUAGACUCCAUCCUCAGCGCGUGGCUCCUGGGGCCAGAUUAUAUGUGAUCUCAAAUGGGUGGUAGCUCUGUCGAGAUUUCUUACGUUUGCAUUCUUGAUCGUUUGCUGUGAAAUGUGCUCGUGAGCAGUCAUGAAACAGAUCUUUGGCACAAAUUCUUGUUCCAGUGUAGAGUGCGUGACGUUGAAAGCUGGCAGAACUGAGGACAAGGAGCUCAAUCCCAAAACGAAUGUGGACUCCUUCCGCUGACGGGGUGGCCGGGGUCUUCUGCGAUAUCCCGGCGGGAUGGGUGGCCGGAGCAGCCCCUCCCCUGCCCGGCUUCACCUCCUCACCUGAGAGAGCCCUUGCGCCCCUGUUAGUGGAGGCUGCUCGUUCCGCUACAGUGUGUACCCAGGUUUGCAGUUACCUCCAGCAGACGCUACACUCCCGCCCCCGCUGCGAGGAGGCUGGCUCCCCUCCCCCUCCACGGUCAUGCCUGUCCUCCAGGGCCGUCCAUCUUCCUCCCCAGCCCUCUCCUCUCCUCCCUGGCGUGGAUGUUAACCAUGUACCCUUAGCUCCUGGAUCUUUCCCUCGGUAACAUUUUCUUCUGUGCCCCCUCAGCCACCCAUUCCCAUGGCCACACGCUAGA